UCCCCGUUAUCCGAGGCAGUGUGCAGUGUAAAAAUAACACGGCAUAGGGGUUGCGCUCGUUAUCCCACUUAAGGGUACACCUCACGGCACGAGCUGACGACAACCAUGCAGCACCUGUGUAGCACCCUCGAAGGCGGCUCAACUUUCAUCGAGCUUGCAGCUACAUUUCAAACCUUGGUGAGGUUCCACGUUUACCGUCGAAUUAAACCACAUGGACCACCGCUUGUGCGGGUCCCCGUCUAUUUCUUUGAGUUUUAGCCUUGCGGCCGUACUCCCCAGGCGGGGUGCUUAACGCGUUAGCUUGUUUUGACGACUCUGAGAGGGUCGAUACUCCCAAAAUCCAGCACCCAUCGUUUAGGGCACGGACUA
rnacentral:misc_RNA from 1 species